rnacentral:lncRNA from 1 species
AGCGGUUUGUGGAGGAGCUGGAGAGCUACGCCAAGCAGGCCGAGGAGUUCUACAGCUUCGGGGACCUGCAGGACAUGCAGCGCUACCUGAAGAAGGCGCAGGCACUGAACACCAAGCUGGACGCAGCUGCGGACAAGAUCCUGCAGUUUAAUGCCGAAGAGGAGGCCUUUGGCUGGCUGCCGUCCAUAUAUCCUCAACGUAAAAAAAUCCAAGAUGGCUUGAACCCGUAUCUCCGUCUCUAUGAAACCAGCGUGGAAUUCAGCAACAAGUACAAAGCGUGGACAGAAGGGCCCUACA